GUCCAGACUCCUACGGGAGGCAGCAGUGGGGAAUAUUGCACAAUGGGGGAAACCCUGAUGCAGCGACGCCGCGUGAGUGAAGAAGUAUUUCGGUAUGUAAAGCUCUAUCAGCAGGGAAGAAAAUGACGGUACCUGAUUAAGAAGCCCCGGCUAACUACGUGCCAGCAGCCGCGGUAAUACGUAGGGGGCAAGCGUUAUCCGGAAUUACUGGGUGUAAAGGGUGCGUAGGUGGCAUGGUAAGUCAGAAGUGAAAGCCCGGGGCUUAACUCCGGGACUGCUUUUGAAACUGUCAUGCUGGAGUGCAGGAGAGGUAAGCGGAAUUCCUAGUGUAGCGGUGAAAUGCGUAGAUAUUAGGAGGAACACCAGUGGCGAAGGCGGCUUACUGGACUGUCACUGACACUGAUGCACGAAAGCGUGGGGAGCAAACAGGAUUAGAUACCCCAGUAGC
rnacentral:rRNA from 1 species